rnacentral:tRNA from 1 species
GGGGAUUUAGCUCAGUGGCAUAAGCACCUGCCUUACAAGCAGGCGGUUGUGAGUUCAAUCCCCA